UAUUAACACCUAUUUAGCACACAUGUUUUAACUUGCUGUAGCUAAGUUAGAGGAGGUUGACUAACACAGCACUUCAACACGUGUUUUUUCUCCACUUGACAAGCCAACCGGACGUGAUAUUAGGGCGUGGCAGUAUCGAAGAUUACAUUUUUUUUAUUCAAUAUUCAAGAUUGUGACUUAAUUUCGAUUGAUUUUGUCAUUAUUUUUUUUUUAAUCUGUUGUGAUUGUUUAUUUAAGAUUUUUUUUACACUUCUGUUUUGCAUGGAUUAAAGACAGGAGAAAUAACAUGUUAGUUAAUAAACUUUAAAAAUGCUGGUAGGGGGUAUUGUUUACCUCUGGACAGCCAGGUUAGCUUUUUCUAGUCUUUGUGCUAAGCUAAGCUAACUGACUGCUGACUCUAGCUACAUAGUUAGCAUACAGGCAUGGAAUCUUCUCAUUGAAAGGUCAGUAUAACAUUAUUAAGCCUUUUUGUCAAAAGAUCAACAUAUUUCUUAAAACUGUAGUUCCCAACCUGUGGUUCUCAGGGUUAAUCUGAGGGUUCACCAGAUGAUAAAAGGGAUAAAUUAAAUCAAUCUGUUAGUGAAAAUGUUUUUUCUCUUCUAAGUUUAGCCUAUUUUCUUGAGAAAUACUGGAUACCAUCUUUUUCUGGCCUCUAAGAAUCAUUUAAGUUAGAUACAUCAGAAAAAGUAAGUCCAUAACCUGUGAUGAGGGGUCAGAAAUAGAUGUUGAUUUUUUUUAAGAGGUUGCAAGA